GACGAACGCUGGCGGCGUGCUUAACACAUGCAAGUCGAACGGAAAGGCCCUGCUUUUGUGGGGUGCUCGAGUGGCGAACGGGUGAGUAACACGUGAGUAACCUGCCCUUGACUUUGGGAUAACUUCAGGAAACUGGGGCUAAUACCGGAUAGGAGCUCCUGCUGCAUGGUGGGGGUUGGAAAGUUUCGGCGGUUGGGGAUGGACUCGCGGCUUAUCAGCUUGUUGGUGGGGUAGUGGCUUACCAAGGCUUUGACGGGUAGUCGGCCUGAGAGGGUGACCGGCCACAUUGGGACUGAGAUACGGCCCAGACUCCUACGGGGGGCAGCAGUGGGGAAUAUUGCACAAUGGGCGGAAGCCUGAUGCAGCAACGCCGCGUGCGGGAUGACGGCCUUCGGGUUGUAAACCGCUUUCGCCUGUGACGAAGCGUGAGUGACGGUAAUGGGUAAAGAAGCACCGGCUAACUACGUG
rnacentral:rRNA from 1 species